rnacentral:rRNA from 1 species
AGUCACUGACAUUAGGAUACCCGUGUAGUCCAGGGUGUAAACGCUGCAGACUUGGUGUUGGAGGCCCUUUGGGGGCAUUCAGUGCCGGAGAGAAGUUGUUAAGUCUGCUACUUGGGGAGUACGUCCGCAAGGAUGAAACUUAAAGGAAUUGGCGGGGGAGCACCGCAACGGGAGGAGCGUGCGGUUUAAUUGGAUUCAACACCGUAAAACUCACCAGGGAAGACUGUUACAUGAAGGCCGAGAUGAAGACUCUGCUAGAUUUUCAG